UCUGGUGUCAGCCGCCGCGGUAAAACCAGCACCUCAAGUGGUCAGGAUGAUUAUUGGGCCUAAAGCAUCCGUAGCCUGCUUUGUUAGUUUUCGGUUAAAUCCAUACGCUCAACGUAUGGGCUGCCGGGAAUACUGCAAAGCUAGGGUGUGGGAGAGGUAGACGGUACUCGGUAGGAAGGGGUAAAAUCCUUUGAUCUAUUGAUGACCACCUGUGGCGAAGGCGGUCUACCAGAACACGUCCGACGGUGAGGGAUGAAAGCUGGGGGAGCAAACCGGAUUAGAUACCCGGGUAGUCCCAGCUGUAAACUAUGCAGACUCGGUGAUGCAUUGGCUUGAUGCCAAUGCAGUGCCGCAGGGAAGCCGUUAAGUUUGCCGCCUGGGAAGUACGUACGCAAGUAUGAAACUUAAAGGAAUUGGCGGGGGAGCACCACAAGGGGUGAAGCCUGCGGUUCAAUUGGAGUCAACGCCAGAAAUCUUACCCGGAGAGACAGCAGAAUGAAGGUCAAGCUGAAGACUUUACCAGACAAGCU
rnacentral:rRNA from 2 species